GGCGGAUGUGGCCAAGUGGAUCAAGGCAGUGGAUUGUGAAUCCACCAUGCGCGAAGGGCGAAUUCGCGGCCGCUAAAUU
rnacentral:tRNA from 15 species